AUUGAACGCUGGCGGAAUGCUUUACACAUGCAAGUCGAACGGCAGCACGGGGGCAACCCUGGUGGCGAGUGGCGAACGGGUGAGUAAUACAUCGGAACGUGCCCAAUCGUGGGGGAUAACGUAGCGAAAGCUACGCUAAUACCGCAUACGAUCUACGGAUGAAAGCGGGGGAUCGCAAGACCUCGCGCGAAUGGAGCGGCCGAUGGCAGAUUAGGUAGUUGGUGGGGUAAAGGCUCACCAAGCCGACGAUCUGUAGCUGGUCUGAGAGGACGACCAGCCACACUGGAACUGAGACACGGUCCAGACUCCUACGGGAGGCAGCAGUGGGGAAUUUUGGACAAUGGGCGCAAGCCUGAUCCAGCCAUUCCGCGUGAGUGAAGAA
rnacentral:rRNA from 1 species